AGGCGUUGGUCUAAACAAGAUAGUUGAUUUCGACUCAACAGAUCCAGAAUGCUCGCCUGGACGCCUAC
rnacentral:tRNA from 1 species